UACGUAGGGUGCAAGCGUUAAUCGGAAUUACUGGGCGUAAAGCGUGCGCAGGCGGUUUUGUAAGUCUGAUGUGAAAGCCCCGGGCUCAACCUGGGAAUUGCAUUUGAAACUGGGAAACUAGAGUGUGUGAGAGGGGGGUAGAAUUCCACGUGUAGCAGUGAAAUGCGUAGAGAUGUGGAGGAACACCGAUGGCGAAGGCAGCCCCCUGGGUCAAGAUUGACGCUCAUGCACGAAAGCGUGGGGAGCAAACAGG
rnacentral:rRNA from 1 species